rnacentral:rRNA from 1 species
CUCGUAGGCGGUUCGUCGCGUCCGGUGUGAAAGUCCAUCGCUUAACGGUGGAUCUGCGCCGGGUACGGGCGGGCUGGAGUGCGGUAGGGGAGACUGGAAUUCCCGGUGUAACGGUGGAAUGUGUAGAUAUCGGGAAGAACACCAAUGGCGAAGGCAAGUCUCUGGGCCGUUACUGACGCUGAGGAGCGAAAGCGUGGGGAGCGAACA